rnacentral:rRNA from 1 species
UACGAAGGGGGCUAGCGUUGCUCGGAAUUACUGGGCGUAAAGCGCACGUAGGCGGCUUCUUAAGUCGGUGGUGAAAUCCUGGAGCUCAACUCCAGAACUGCCUUCGAUACUGGGAAGCUCGAGUCCGGGAGAGGUGAGUGGAACUGCGAGUGUAGAGGUGAAAUGCGUAGAUAUCGAGAGGAACACCUGCGGCGAAGGCGGGUUGCUGGGCUGACACUGACGCUAAGGCGCGAAAGCUAGGGGAGCGAACGGG